rnacentral:rRNA from 1 species
AGUGAACGCUGGCGGUAGGCCUAACACAUGCAAGUCGAACGGCAGCACAGUAAGAGCUUGCUCUUACGGGUGGCGAGUGGCGGACGGGUGAGGAAUACAUCGGAAUCUACUUUUUCGUGGGGGUUAACGUAGGGAAACUUACGCUAAUACCGCAUACGACCUACGGGUGAAAGCAGGGGAUCUUCGGACCUUGCGCGAUUGAAUGAGCCGAUGUCGGAUUAGCUAGUUGGCGGGGUACAGGCCCACCAAGGCGACGAUCCGUAGCUGGUCUGAGAGGAUGAGCAGCCACACUGGGACUGAGACACGGCCCAGACUCCUACGGGAGGCAGCAGUGGGGAAUAUUGGACAAUGGGCGCAAGCCUGAUCCAGCCAUACCGCGUGGGUGAAGAAGGCCUUCGGGUUGUACAGCCCUUUUGUUGGGAAAGAAAAGCAGCAGGUUAAUACCCCGCUGUUCGGACGGUACCCAAAUAAUAAGCACCGGCUAACUUCGUG